UUGAACGCUGGCGGCAGGCCUAACACAUGCAAGUCGAGCGGAUGAAGGGAGCUUGCUCCUGGAUUCAGCGGCGGACGGGUGAGUAAUGCCUAGGAAUCUGCCUGGUAGUGGGGGAUAACGUCCGGAAACGGGCGCUAAUACCGCAUACGUCCUGAGGGAGAAAGUGGGGGAUCUUCGGACCUCACGCUAUCAGAUGAGCCUAGGUCGGAUUAGCUAGUUGGUGGGGUAAAGGCCUACCAAGGCGACGAUCCGUAACUGGUCUGAGAGGAUGAUCAGUCACACUGGAACUGAGACACGGUCCAGACUCCUGCGGGAGGCAGCAGUGGGGAAUAUUGGACAAUGGGCGAAAGCCUGAUCCAGCCAUGCCGCGUGUGUGAAGAAGGUCUUCGGAUUGUAAAGCACUUUAAGUUGGGAGGAAGGGCAGUAAGUUAAUACCUUGCUGUUUUGACGUUACCAACAGAAUAAGCACCGGCUAACUUCGUG
rnacentral:rRNA from 1 species